rnacentral:rRNA from 1 species
GACGAACGCUGGCGGCGUGCCUAAUACAUGCAAGUCGAACGCAGUGGGGACUGGUGAGUAACACGUGGGUAACCUCCCAUCAGAGGGGACAACACUUGGAAACAGGUGCUAAACCGAUACUGAUGGAUGGACCCGCGGCGCAUUAGCUAGUUGGGGAGGUAACGGCGCACCAACGCCACGAUGCAUAGCCGCGCUGAGAGGGUGGUCGGCGACACUGGGACUGAGACACGGCCCAGACGCCUACGGUAGGCAGCAGUAGGGAAUCUUCGGCAAUGGACGAAAGUCUGACCGGGCGACGCCGCGUGAGUGAAGAAGGUUUUCGGAUCGUAAGCCUCUGUUGUUAGAGAAGCGGUAUCUAACCAGAAAGCCACGGCUAACUACGUGCCAGCAGCCGCGGUAAUAC